rnacentral:ncRNA from 1 species
UGGUGAAAAAGGCAAACUCGUCGAAAGGCGGGGACGCAAAGCCACGGGUCUAAGGCUUGCGGGGCGAGCUAAGGCAGCCGGGUUGCCAUC